rnacentral:ncRNA from 1 species
CAGAGUAGGCGAAUAUGGGUCAAGUGCCGAAGGGACGGGGAGUUGCCCUUUGGACGAAAAGCCGCUUUGGCUUGCCGUAGAUUCGCCGCAUCCCGCUG